AGACGAUACCAGUUCAAGAGGAAAGAAACGGUCCUGUGCCUCCACCCAAACCUUCAGAACCAUCCACCAAUCACACGUCUCCCGAUAAGGGUCCUUCUCCGUCUUUCAGGAGAAUUUUACGUAACUUCUUUUCGUCCUCUUCAGAACGACACGCAGAAGGUCAGCCACAGGAGCCUUAUCCUCCACCUUUAACUGACACAAUGACACCAGAACAGAUCAAAGCCUGGGAGGAGACAGAGAUGGACAAACCUCUGGAUAUCGAUCAAAUCAGAAUAGAUCCCUCCCCCUUCCAGCUGGUUGAGAGAACAUCACUA